CUUGAAUAAAAUAAGAGGUCCAGCCUGCCCAGUGAAAUUAUUCAACGGCCGCGGUAUCCUAACCGUGCGAAGGUAGCGUAAUCACUUGUUCUUUAAAUGAGGACUAGUAUGAAUGGCACCACGAGGGUUCUACUGUCUCCCUUUUUUAAUCAGUGAAACUAAUCUCCCCGUGAAGAAGCGGGGAUCUUUAUAUAAGACGAGAAGACCCUAUGGAGCUUUAAACAACCAACAUUUGCUACACCAUAACAUUUACCCUAAAAGAAGUAUAGCAUUAUGAUUACUAGUUUUCGAUUGGGGUGAUCACGGAGUAAAAUAUAACCUCCAUGCCGAAAGGGUUCUUACCCUGAGCAAAAAGCCACAGCUUUAAGCACUAAAAAAUUAACGCAGUUUGACCCAAUAUUUUGAUCAACGAAC
rnacentral:rRNA from 1 species